AUGGAGAUGAAGGAGAGACAGCGGUGGCGGCCUGAGGAAGACGCCAUCCUCCGCUCCUACGUCCGGCAGUAUGGCCCCCGCGAGUGGAACCUGGUGGCGCAGCGCAUGAACGUGCCCCUCGACCGCGACGCCAAGUCCUGCCUCGAGCGCUGGAAGAACUACCUCCGCCCCGGCAUCAAGAAGGGCUCCCUCACCGACGACGAGCAGCGCCUCGUCAUCCGCCUCCAGGCCAAGCACGGCAACAAGUGGAAGAAGAUCGCCGCCGAGGUGCCUGGCCGGACGGCGAAGCGGCUCGGCAAGUGGUGGGAGGUGUUCAAGGAGAAGCAGCAGCGGGAGAUCAGGGACAGCCGGAGGCCGCCACCUGAGCCCAGCCCCGACGAGAGGGGAAGGUACGAGUGGCUGCUCGAGAACUUCGCCGAGAAGCUCGUCAAGGAGAGGCAGCAGGUGGGAGUGGGCGCGACGCCGCUGCACCACCACCUCAUGGCGGCUCCCAUGCUCCCGCCCUGGAUGUCGUCCACCGCUACCAACGGCGCGCCCGUCUCUCCGGCGCCACCGUCGCCGUCCGUGACGCUCAGCCUUGCCUCCGCCGUCGUCCCGCCCCCGACCGCCGCGCCGUGGAUGCAGCAGCAGCAGCAGAUGGCGGAGGACGGCGCCGCGUUCGGGUUCGCCAGGCCGCCACCGGCGCCGGGCAUGGUGCCGGAUGCUCCUCAGGCAGCGCUGGCGGAGCUGGCCGAGUGCUGCAGGGAGCUGGACGAGGGGCACCGCGCGUGGGCCGCGCACCGGAAAGAGGCAUCGUGGAGGCUGAAGCGCGUGGAGCUGCAGCUGGAGUCGGAGCGCGCGUGCCGGCGGCGCGAGGCCGCGGAGGAGUUCGAGGCCAAGAUGCGAGCGCUGUGGGAGGAGCAGGCGGCCGCCGUGGAGCGCCUGGAGGCGGAGUACCGGGAGAAGGUGGCCGGGCUCCGGCGUGAUGCCGAGAUCAAGGAGCAGAAGAUGGCGGAGCAAUGGGCCGCCAAGCACGCCCGCCUUACCAAGUUCCUUGAGCAGGUCGGCUCGUCGUGCCGCCGCUGGCCGCCCGGCGAGAUGAACGGCCGCUGA
rnacentral:rRNA from 1 species